UAGAGUUUGAUCCUGGCUCAGAUUGAACGCUGGCGGCAUGCUUUACACAUGCAAGUCGAACGGCAGCGCGGGCGGGGGUAACCUCGCCUGGCGGCGAGUGGCGAACGGGUGAGUAAUACAUCGGAACGUACCCAGAAGUGGGGGAUAACGUAGCGAAAGUUACGCUAAUACCGCAUACGUUCUACGGAAGAAAGUGGGGGACCGCAAGGCCUCAUGCUUUUGGAGCGGCCGAUGUCUGAUUAGCUAGUUGGUAGGGUAAAGGCCUACCAAGGCGACGAUCAGUAGCUGGUCUGAGAGGACGACCAGCCACACUGGGACUGAGACACGGCCCAGACUCCUACGGGAGGCAGCAGUGGGGAAUUUUGGACAAUGGGCGCAAGCCUGAUCCAGCAAUGCCGCGUGAGUGAAGAAGGCCUUCGGGUUGUAAAGCUCUUUUGUCAGGGAAGAAACGGCUGAGGCGAAUACCUUCGGCUAAUGACGGUACCUGAAGAAUAAGCACCGGCUAACUACGUGCCAGCAGCCGCGGUAAUACGUAGGGUGCAAGCGUUAAUCGGAAUUACUGGGCGUAAAGCGUGCGCAGGCGGUUUUGUAAGUCUGACGUGAAAUCCCCGGGCUCAACCUGGGAAUUGCGUUGGAGACUGCAAGGCUGGAGUCUGGCAGAGGGGGGUAGAAUUCCACGUGUAGCAGUGAAAUGCGUAGAGAUGUGGAGGAACACCGAUGGCGAAGGCAGCCCCCUGGGUCAAGACUGAC
rnacentral:rRNA from 1 species